CGGCGGUUCCGGCGGUGGCGGUCACGGCGGUUCCGGCGGUGGCGGUCACGGCGGUCACGGCAGCGGCUCCAGCGCCAGUGCGAGUGCAAGCGCUAGCGCAGGGGCCGGCGGAUACGGCGGUCACAAGGGCGGAUACGGACGUUAAACUGAAGUAACAAAAAUCCAGCACUUGAAAUGCCAUCUGCAGCGUGGUUCGACAACCCUGAAUGUGAUAAUACCUAGUUUAUUUGUUAAAAAUAAAUAUCUAAGUAAAAAAACCAUAUUAAAAUAGUUGAAAAUA